UGCCAAUACUCAUAUUAACUUUGUGUCAUUAACAAUGUGCUAAUUAAACUUUGGAACAUUGAAACUAGCUAAGGAAAAUGAUUGCACAGAAAAUGUUAUUCUAUUCAUUUAUCCUCAGCCUACAAAU
ensembl:snoRNA